CCGUCGGAAGCCCGACUGGCGCAAUGGUAGCGCGCCAGACUUCUAAUCUGGAGGCUGGGGGUUCGACCCCCCCGUUGGGCUU
rnacentral:tRNA from 1 species